AAAAUCAACAAAUUUCAAUGGCCGUAGUGAGCUGUUUGCAAGUUUAACGGUGUAGAAAUAUUCAAAUUACGUGAAAUUUUGAUAGAAAAUUUUUUAUACUAUAUAAAACAAGAUCAAUAUCUUUGAUUUAAAAUUUUAAUGUCAUAUUAUUACAUUUUGUAAAAUUUUUAUUUUCAGUCGUUGAUUUUGAGCCCCUUCGUUCACGAGGCAAAUGAUAUCGAAAAAUAAUAAAAUUUAUUUUCUAGGUAUUCCAAAUACUCUAGAUCAAGUUUAACGGAGCCGAUCGACGAUUCGAAAGUCGCAAUAUCGAAAACGAGCUGGAAGCACGGAAGGCUCCGUGCUUCCGAUAGCAUAGUAGCCUCACUCUAAUUACUUUAUAAAAU
rnacentral:lncRNA from 1 species